rnacentral:rRNA from 1 species
UGGGGAAUAUUGGACAAUGGGCGCAAGCCUGAUCCAGCCAUGCCGCGUGUGUGAAGAAGGCCUUUUGGUUGUAAAGCACUUUAAGCGAGGAGGAGGCUACUUGGAUUAAUACUCUAGGAUAGUGGACGUUACUCGCAGAAUAAGCACCGGCUAACUCUGUGCCAGCAGCCGCGGUAAUACAGAGGGUGCGAGCGUUAAUCGGAUUUACUGGGCGUAAAGCGUGCGUAGGCGGCUUCUUAAGUCGGAUGUGAAAUCCCUGAGCUUAACUUAGGAAUUGCAUUCGAUACUGGGAAGCUAGAGUAUGGGAGAGGAUGGUAGAAUUCCAGGUGUAGCGGUGAACUGCGUAGAGAUCUGGAGGAAUACCGAUGGCGAAGGCAGCCAUCUGGCCUAAUACUGACGCUGAGGUACGAAAGCAUGGGGAGCAAACAGG